AAAACACCAGUUUCUGUACGAUCACUGAAGUUAAGCUACAUUGAACCUAGUCAGUACCUAGAUGGGUGACCACUUGGGAAUACUAGGUGCUGA